rnacentral:lncRNA from 1 species
AGUUCAUAGUUUGUGAUUUAAAAGUUGUAAUUGUUACAAGCUUUAUUCUUGUUUCUUUGAAUGUAAAUUUUGCUAGAAAAUUUGCCAUCUCAAAUGUUGUAGAUGUAGUUCAUAUGAGCAUGAAUAUUGGAGCUAAAAUUUGGUGCCAUGCUUUUGGGAAUUUUCGGCCAAAUACAAAGGGUGAUUUUUUGGGUUCUUGUUUGACUUGUUAAAAGUGUUUUCAAGUGACUUUUGGAACCCCUAUGUACCCUAGUUUGGUUAGAUGUUAUUUCCCUUAAGUUUGAAUGGUUUUGGAAUGUUUUUGGGUGAAAAAUGUUCAUGGAAAUUUUUUGUGUUUUUCAUGAAUGUUCUUCAUUGUUCUUGACAUUUUUGCCAAGAACAAAAAGGUUUGUGUUUUGAUUCAAAGUUUUGAUUUAUUUCAUAAAGUUUAUGUUUUAUGCAUUUUCAAAUGUUUAAAUGUUUUAGAUAUUUAUUUA